GGAUUAGAUACCCUGGUAGUCCACGCCGUAAACGAUGAGCACUAGUUGUUGUGGGUAUUGACCCCUGCAGUGACGACGCUAACGCAUUAAGUGCUCCGCCUGGGGACUACGGCCGCAAGGCUAAAACUCAAAGGAAUUGACGGGGGCCCGCACAAGCGGUGGAGUAUGUGGUUUAAUUCGACGCAACGCGCAGAACCUUACCCGGUCUUGACAUUGAGGGAAAGUCCGUAGAAAUACAGACCCCCACCUUCGGGUGGCCCAAAAACAGGUGCUGCAUGGCUGUCGUCAGCUCGUGCCG
rnacentral:rRNA from 1 species